GACAGAGGGUGCAAACGUUGUUCGGAAUUACUGGGCGUAAAGGGUGCGUAGGCGGCUUUCUAAGUUGGAUGUGAAAACUAUGGGCUCAACCCAUAGCCUGCAUCCAAAACUGGAGAGCUUGGGUUCUGGAGGGGAAAGCGGAAUUCCUGGUGUAGCGGUGAAAUGCGUAGAUAUCAGGAGGAACACCGGUGGCGAAGGCGGCUUUCUGGACAGACACCGACGCUGAGGCACGAAAGCUAGGGGAGCAAACAGG
rnacentral:rRNA from 1 species